rnacentral:snoRNA from 1 species
AGCAAUGAUGUCGUGGGUAGGUUUGUAACGAGUGGCGGGCGGCCUGACAGUUGGUGCCGAUGUUGUGUUGGGUUGGGGGUCGCGGUCGGGCAGCGUCUGACC